rnacentral:rRNA from 1 species
GAUCAUGGCUCAGGAUGAACGCUAGCUACAGGCUUAACACAUGCAAGUCGAGGGGGAACGACAUCGAAAGCUUGCUUUUGAUGGGCGUCGACCGGCGCACGGGUGAGUAACGCGUAUCCAACCUGCCCAUCACUUGGGAAUAACCUUGCGAAAGUAAGACUAAUGCCCAAUGACAUCCCACGAAGGCGUCCGAAUGGGAUUAAAGAUUUAUCGGUGAUGGAUGGGGAUGCGU